UUAAGCGACUAAGCGUACACGGUGGAUGCCCUGGCAGUCAGAGGCGAUGAAGGACGUGCUAAUCUGCGAAAAGCGUCGGUAAGGUGAUAUGAACCGUUAUAACCGGCGAUGUCCGAAUGGGGAAACCCAGUGUGAUUCGUCACACUAUCGUUAACUGAAUACAUAGGUUAACGAGGCGAACCGGGGGAACUGAAACAUCUAAGUACCCCGAGGAAAAGAAAUCAACCGAGAUUCCCCCAGUAGCGGCGAGCGAACGGGGAGCAGCCCAGAGUCUGAAUCAGCUUGUGUGUUAGUGGAACGGUCUGGAAAGUCCGACGGUACAGGGUGAUAGUCCCGUACACCAAAAUGCACAGGCUGUGAACUCGAAGAGUAGGGCGGGACACGUGGUAUCCUGUCUGAAUAUGGGGGGACCAUCCUCCAAGGCUAAAUACUCCUGACUGACCGAUAGUGAACCAGUACCGUGAGGGAAAGGCGAAAAGAACCCCGGCGAGGGGAGUGAAAAAGAACCUGAAACCGUGUACGUACAAGCAGUGGGAGCACCUUCGGGUGUGACUGCGUACCUUUUGUAUAAUGGGUCAGCGACUUAUAUUCUGUAGCAAGGUUAACCGUAUAGGGGAGCCGCAGGGAAACCGAGUCUUAACUGGGCGUUAAGUUGCAGGGUAUAGACCCGAAACCCGGUGAUCUAGCCAUGGGCAGGUUGAAGGUUGGGUAACACUAACUGGAGGACCGAACCGACUAAUGUUGAAAAAUUAGCGGAUGACUUGUGGCUGGGGGUGAAAGGCCAAUCAAACCGGGAGAUAGCUGGUUCUCCCCGAAAGCUAUUUAGGUAGCGCCUCGUGAACUCAUCUUCGGGGGUAGAGCACUGUUUCGGCUAGGGGGUCAUCCCGACUUACCAACCCGAUGCAAACUACGAAUACCGAAGAAUGUUAUCACGGGAGACACACGGCGGGUGCUAACGUCCGUCGUGAAGAGGGAAACAACCCAGACCGCCAGCUAAGGUCCCAAAGUCAUGGUUAAGUGGGAAACGAUGUGGGAAGGCACAGACAGCCAGGAUGUUGGCUUAGAAGCAGCCAUCAUUUAAAGAAAGCGUAAUAGCUCACUGGUCGAGUCGGCCUGCGCGGAAGAUGUAACGGGGCUAAACCAUGCACCGAAGCUGCGGCAGCGACACGAUGUGUUGUUGGGUAGGGGAGCGUUCUGUAAGCCUGCGAAGGUGNUGUGAACUCGAAGAGUAGGGCGGGACACGUGGUAUCCUGUCUGAAUAUGGGGGGACCAUCCUCCAAGGCUAAAUACUCCUGACUGACCGAUAGUGAACCAGUACCGUGAGGGAAAGGCGAAAAGAACCCCGGCGAGGGGAGUGAAAAAGAACCUGAAACCGUGUACGUACAAGCAGUGGGAGCACCUUUAUGGUGUGACUGCGUACCUUUUGUAUAAUGGGUCAGCGACUUAUAUUCUGUAGCAAGGUUAACCGUAUAGGGGAGCCGCAGGGAAACCGAGUCUUAACUGGGCGUUAAGUUGCAGGGUAUAGACCCGAAACCCGGUGAUCUAGCCAUGGGCAGGUUGAAGGUUGGGUAACACUAACUGGAGGACCGAACCGACUAAUGUUGAAAAAUUAGCGGAUGACUUGUGGCUGGGGGUGAAAGGCCAAUCAAACCGGGAGAUAGCUGGUUCUCCCCGAAAGCUAUUUAGGUAGCGCCUCGUGAACUCAUCUUCGGGGGUAGAGCACUGUUUCGGCUAGGGGGUCAUCCCGACUUACCAACCCGAUGCAAACUACGAAUACCGAAGAAUGUUAUCACGGGAGACACACGGCGGGUGCUAACGUCCGUCGUGAAGAGGGAAACAACCCAGACCGCCAGCUAAGGUCCCAAAGUCAUGGUUAAGUGGGAAACGAUGUGGGAAGGCACAGACAGCCAGGAUGUUGGCUUAGAAGCAGCCAUCAUUUAAAGAAAGCGUAAUAGCUCACUGGUCGAGUCGGCCUGCGCGGAAGAUGUAACGGGGCUAAACCAUGCACCGAAGCUGCGGCAGCGACACGAUGUGUUGUUGGGUAGGGGAGCGUUCUGUAAGCCUGCGAAGGUGNUGUGAACUCGAAGAGUAGGGCGGGACACGUGGUAUCCUGUCUGAAUAUGGGGGGACCAUCCUCCAAGGCUAAAUACUCCUGACUGACCGAUAGUGAACCAGUACCGUGAGGGAAAGGCGAAAAGAACCCCGGCGAGGGGAGUGAAAAAGAACCUGAAACCGUGUACGUACAAGCAGUGGGAGCACCUUUAUGGUGUGACUGCGUACCUUUUGUAUAAUGGGUCAGCGACUUAUAUUCUGUAGCAAGGUUAACCGUAUAGGGGAGCCGCAGGGAAACCGAGUCUUAACUGGGCGUUAAGUUGCAGGGUAUAGACCCGAAACCCGGUGAUCUAGCCAUGGGCAGGUUGAAGGUUGGGUAACACUAACUGGAGGACCGAACCGACUAAUGUUGAAAAAUUAGCGGAUGACUUGUGGCUGGGGGUGAAAGGCCAAUCAAACCGGGAGAUAGCUGGUUCUCCCCGAAAGCUAUUUAGGUAGCGCCUCGUGAACUCAUCUUCGGGGGUAGAGCACUGUUUCGGCUAGGGGGUCAUCCCGACUUACCAACCCGAUGCAAACUACGAAUACCGAAGAAUGUUAUCACGGGAGACACACGGCGGGUGCUAACGUCCGUCGUGAAGAGGGAAACAACCCAGACCGCCAGCUAAGGUCCCAAAGUCAUGGUUAAGUGGGAAACGAUGUGGGAAGGCACAGACAGCCAGGAUGUUGGCUUAGAAGCAGCCAUCAUUUAAAGAAAGCGUAAUAGCUCACUGGUCGAGUCGGCCUGCGCGGAAGAUGUAACGGGGCUAAACCAUGCACCGAAGCUGCGGCAGCGACACUAUGUGUUGUUGGGUAGGGGAGCGUUCUGUAAGCCUGCGAAGGUGGCCUGUGAGGGUCGCUGGAGGUAUCAGAAGUGCGAAUGCUGACAUAAGUAACGAUAAAGCGGGUGAAAAGCCCGCUCGCCGGAAGACCAAGGGUUCCUGUCCAACGUUAAUCGGGGCAGGGUGAGUCGACCCCUAAGGCGAGGCCGAAAGGCGUAGUCGAUGGGAAACAGGUUAAUAUUCCUGUACUUGGUGUUACUGCGAAGGGGGGACGGAGAAGGCUAUGUUAGCCGGGCGACGGUUGUCCCGGUUUAAGCAUGUAGGCUGNUUAUCCAGGCAAAUCCGGAUAAUCAAGGCUGAGGUGUGAUGACGAGGCACUACGGUGCUGAAGUAACAAAUGCCCUGCUUCCAGGAAAAGCCUCUAAGCAUCAGGUAACAUCAAAUCGUACCCCAAACCGACACAGGUGGUCAGGUAGAGAAUACCAAGGCGCUUGAGAGAACUCGGGUGAAGGAACUAGGCAAAAUGGUGCCGUAACUUCGGGAGAAGGCACGCUGGUGUGUAGGUGAAGCCCCUGCGGGUGGAGCUGAGACCAGUCGAAGAUACCAGCUGGCUGCAACUGUUUAUUAAAAACACAGCACUGUGCAAACACGAAAGUGGACGUAUACGGUGUGACGCCUGCCCGGUGCCGGAAGGUUAAUUGAUGGGGUUAUCCGUAAGGAGAAGCUCUUGAUCGAAGCCCCGGUAAACGGCGGCCGUAACUAUAACGGUCCUAAGGUAGCGAAAUUCCUUGUCGGGUAAGUUCCGACCUGCACGAAUGGCGUAAUGAUGGCCAGGCUGUCUCCACCCGAGACUCAGUGAAAUUGAACUCGCUGUGAAGAUGCAGUGUACCCGCGGCAAGACGGAAAGACCCCGUGAACCUUUACUAUAGCUUGACACUGAACAUUGAGCCUUGAUGUGUAGGAUAGGUGGGAGGCUUUGAAGCGUGGACGCCAGUCUGCGUGGAGCCAACCUUGAAAUACCACCCUUUAAUGUUUGAUGUUCUAACGUUGGCCCCUGACCGGGGUUGCGGACAGUGUCUGGUGGGUAGUUUGACUGGGGCGGUCUCCUCCCAAAGCGUAACGGAGGAGCACGAAGGUUAGCUAAUCCUGGUCGGACAUCAGGAGGUUAGUGCAAUGGCAUAAGCUAGCUUGACUGCGAGCGUGACGGCGCGAGCAGGUGCGAAAGCAGGUCAUAGUGAUCCGGUGGUUCUGAAUGGAAGGGCCAUCGCUCAACGGAUAAAAGGUACUCCGGGGAUAACAGGCUGAUACCGCCCAAGAGUUCAUAUCGACGGCGGUGUUUGGCACCUCGAUGUCGGCUCAUCACAUCCUGGGGCUGAAGUAGGUCCCAAGGGUAUGGCUGUUCGCCAUUUAAAGUGGUACGCGAGCUGGGUUUAGAACGUCGUGAGACAGUUCGGUCCCUAUCUGCCGUGGGCGCUGGAGAAUUGAGGGGGGCUGCUCCUAGUACGAGAGGACCGGAGUGGACGCAUCACUGGUGUUCGGGUUGUCAUGCCAAUGGCACUGCCCGGUAGCUAAAUGCGGAAGAGAUAAGUGCUGAAAGCAUCUAAGCACGAAACUUGCCCCGAGAUGAGUUCUCCCUGAGACUUUAAGUCUCCUGAAGGAACGUUGAAGACGACGACGUUGAUAGGCCGGGUGUGUAAGCGCAGCGAUGCGUUGAGCUAACCGGUACUAAUGAACCGUGAGGCUUAACCUU
rnacentral:rRNA from 1 species